GACGAAGGGGGUUAGCGUUGUUCGGAAUUACUGGGCGUAAAGCGCGUGUAGGCGGUUGUUCAAGUCAGGUGUGAAAGCCUUGAGCUCAACUCAAGAAAUGCACUUGAUACUGGAUGACUAGAGGACCGGAGAGGAUAGUGGAAUUCCCAGUGUAGUGGUGAAAUACGUAGAGAUUGGGAAGAACACCAGUGGCGAAGGCGGCUAUCUGGACGGUUUCUGACGCUAAGACGCGAAAGCGUGGGGAGCAAACAGG
rnacentral:rRNA from 1 species